rnacentral:rRNA from 1 species
CGUAGGUGCAAGCGUUAAUCGGAAUUACUGGGCGUAAAGCGUGCGCAGGCGGUUGUGCAAGUCUGAUGUGAAUCCCCGGGCUUAACCUGGGAACUGCAUUGGAGACUGCACGGCUAGAGUGCGUCAGAGGGGGUGGAAUUCCGCGUGUAGCAGUGAAAUGCGUAGAGAUGCGGAGGAACACCGAUGGCGAAGGCAGCCCCUGGGAUGACACUGACGCUCAUGCACGAAAGCGUGGGAGCAAACAGGAUU